rnacentral:rRNA from 1 species
UGCACGCAGGUGCGAUGGGGGGACUCCGAGUGCAGUCUUCCAAAACGGAAGACCGCUUUUCUGCACUUUAAGCAGGUGCCGAAACAAGGGGUGGGCAAGACGGCUGCCAGCCGCCGCGGUAAUAGCCGCACCCCAAGUGGUAGUCAUUGUUAUUGGGCUUAAAGUGUUCGUAGCCGGACACACAAGUCUGCUGUGAAAUCCAUGCGCUUAACGUAUGGACAUGCAGCGGAUACUGUGUGUCUAGGAACCGGACGGCGUCGAGGCUAUUCCCGGGGUAGGGGUGAAAUCCUAAAAUCCUGGGAGGAGCACCUGUGGCGAAAGCGCUCGACGAGUACGGAUUCGACGGUGAGGAACGAAAGCCAGUGGAGCAAAGC